UGUUGCAAAGAUGUUACUUUUAUUGCUCUGUGUUUGGACGGUCAUUAGAUUUUCAGGUUCAGCAUCUCCAAAAAUCUUUCAAAAUCCACUUUUCAUAGCGAAGUUUCCAGGACAACCAGUUGAGUUUGACUGUGCAUUGGAAGGCACUAGCAACCCCAAUCUUUACUGGUACAGACAGGAUGCUUCAGGAAUGCUGGAGCUGCUUCUCUACUCAAUUAGUACAGGCUCAGUAGAAAACAACGGAUAUAAGAAUUUCACAGCAGAGAGGCCAGAGGAUCUGAAAUUUAAACUGAAAAUCAAGAGUGUACUUGCCAAUCAUACAGCAGUGUACUAUUGUGCAUGGAGUAAGACACAGUGACAUAAGCAUAUGUAGGCUCCAUUCA